AUGUGUGCACAGAUGCCAAGCCAGAUACUGCUGUGGUUCCUGUGGACAGGGGUUGUGCCACACAUUGUUAUAUCUUCUGGAAACUUCGCACAGUGCUAGAAACUCAAGAUAUUCUUUCAAACAUCAGAAUCAAUCUCUCUCUCUCUCAAGGGCCUCUGAACCUCUGCAGGAACCACCCCCCUGUGGCAUGUGCUGGGGCUUCAGUGGGGGAAGCGUACGUCCUCUCCAAUUCUUUCCCACGGUUCAGGCGCUGCCUCUCACUCCCUCCCAGCCUGCCUCCGCUCCUGACUUUGACCCCCAACCUCACCCCCCAGCCCUGCUGGCUGCUGGGCGUCAGGAGCGCCUUCCCUAGGUUGCCUGCUUUGCCUCAGAGCCCAGCUCAUGCAUGGACGAGGAUGGGACCUCUCCAGCCGCUCCAGGCAGAUGAUGACGUAUGAAUCACAGGGCUCACCUUUGUAAUCCCAAACUGUCCAGGUCAACCUCUGGCUUUGUGCUAAUGAACUUCACCUUGUCAAGGUCAACUGACCUUCACCUUUUCAAGGCCAACAAAGGAUGCAGGACAACACUACCUCGAACAGUCAAGAAACCACUGGAUUAAAAUGAGCAGCUGGCAAGUAGCUGCAACCGUGUGCUUCCCUUGCUGCAUCAAGAGCAGGGCACAGGCAACGUCAACAUAAGUGCAUUCCUCCCCAAGAAACAGGAAGGGGCUGCUUCACCCCAUGUGGCCGAGUCUGUUCACUGAAGCAGCUCCUAGGUGGAAAGUCACAAGGAUGUCCUGUCGUCGACCAUCUCCUGAGAUCCCACGGCACCAUGCCACCUGGUCUUUGUGAAGAGCAGUAUGAGCUCUAGGGUUCAGGGCUGGUACCAGGACACACAAAUGCUGUGAAGAGGACACUCGGCAUCCCCUCAGGCACCACCAGCCUUAUGUGACAGCACUGACCCCAACGAUCACCUCACCGAUUUUUCCUUAUUGUUCCACCUAUGAUGGGUGUUUCUCGGUGAUUAGGGUCUAAGAUUUAGAACACUUAAAAUGUGUGCUGAAGAUCAGAGAAAAAAGUCAGGGUUUUCCUUUCUGCUGGAUAAAAAAAAAUUAAGCAACCAACCAGUGGCCACAGAAGAAACGUGGAAGCAGAAGCAACCUGUGAGGCCCAGAGGGAGAGGGCCUGGAUGGCAGCCUCAUGGCCACGAGCAGAGCCCACAGGGCCCCACCUGCAGGCAGGAUGAUGGCAGCGACACAGGAGCACUGGGCAUUACACACCGCUCCCUUCCAGAGACGGCACUAAGCCCAGUGUCACCACCAGCAGCUGACACUACCUACGGCAAGGCACGAUCCAGGGAAGGCACUGGCACGGGACCACCACCUGCCCCACCUGGUAGUAAGUAGAAAGAACAAUGACAGGCUUUAGUAUGGCACUUUGCUAAGUAUCUAAACCCUUCCAGCACCUUUCUCGGGGAAAUUCUCCUCCCUGAAGAUCCUGGAGACCAUGUCCAUGCCUCCCACAGAGCCUCCCAGGGCUGCUCUGGACGCUCCAUCCCUUUCUCACUGGUCUGGCCUGACCAGCAUCAGCACGGCGGCUGGCCAGCUCUGCGGAGGCAGUCUACCUGGAGCACAGAUGCCGCCAGACUCGAGCAUGUGUGGGGCCAGGGAAACUCGGGAGCUCUCGUGCCUUUUGCCGGGGCAGGCAGGAUAGACCAUGUGCGCCCCCCAGUGCACACUGUGUGUGUGUGUGUGUGUGUGUGUGUGUGUGUGUGUGUGUGUGGAGGGGGGUAAUGUAAAUCCUAGGUUAUUUCUCACCUAAAAUGUAACGAAGCAAAUUGAAAGAUGUUUAAAAAUGCCUUUAAUGU